GUGGGGAAUUUUGGACAAUGGGCGAAAGCCUGAUCCAGCAAUGCCGCGUGUGUGAAGAAGGCCUUCGGGUUGUAAAGCACUUUUGUCCGGAAAGAAAUCCUUUGGGUUAAUACCUCGGAGGGAUGACGGUACCGGAAGAAUAAGGACCGGCUAACUACGUGCCAGCAGCCGCGGUAAUACGUAGGGUCCGAGCGUUAAUCGGAAUUACUGGGCGUAAAGCGUGCGCAGGCGGUUUUGUAAGACAGAUGUGAAAUCCCCGGGCUUAACCUGGGAAUUGCAUUUGUGACUGCAAGGCUAGAGUGUGUCAGAGGGGGGUAGAAUUCCACGUGUAGCAGUGAAAUGCGUAGAGAUGUGGAGGAAUACCGAUGGCGAAGGCAGCCCCCUGGGAUAACACUGACGCUCAUGCACGAAAGCGUGGGGAGCAAACAGGAUUAGAUACCCCAGUAGUCC
rnacentral:rRNA from 1 species